rnacentral:rRNA from 1 species
UACAGAGGGUGCGAGCGUUAAUCGGAAUUACUGGGCGUAAAGCGUGCGUAGACGGUUUCGUAAGUCGGGUGUGAAAUCCCCGGGCUCAACCUGGGAAUUGCAUUCGAAACUGCGAGGCUAGGGUACGGAAGAGGGAAGCGGAAUUUCUGGUGUAGCGGUGAAAUGCGUAGAUAUCAGAAGGAACAUCAGUGGCGAAAGCGGCGCACUGGACCACAACUGACGCUGAGGCGCGAAAGCUAGGGGAGCAAACAGG